CAACCGGGAUUGCCUCAGUAACGGCGAGUGAAGCGGCAAAAGCUCAAAUUUGAAAUCUGGCACUUUCAGUGUCCGAGUUGUAAUUUGUAGAAGUAGUUUUGGGACUGGUCCUUAUCUAUGUUUCUUGGAACAGGACGUCAUAGAGGGUGAGAACCCCGUAUGAUGAGGCCCCCAGUCCUUUGUAAAACGCUUUCGAAGAGUCGAGUUGUUUGGGAAUGCAGCUCUAAGUGGGUGGUAAAUUCCAUCUAAAGCUAAAUAUUGGCGAGAGACCGAUAGCGAACAAGUACAGUGAUGGAAAGAUGAAAAGAACUUUGAAAAGAGAGUGAAAAAGUACGUGAAAUUGUUGAAAGGGAAGGGCAUUUGAUCAGACAUGGUGUUUUGCGCCCUUUGCUCCUUGUGGGCGGAGGAUACGCAGCUCACUGGGCCAACAUCAGUUUUGGGAGCAGGAUAAAUCUGUAGGAACGUAGCUUUCUUCGGGAAGUGUUAUAGCCUAUGGGAAUACUGCUACCUGGGACUGAGGACUGCGUCUUUUGACAAGGAUGUUGGCAUAAUGGUUAAAUGCCGCCCGUCUUGAAAAAAGGACCAAAAA
rnacentral:rRNA from 1 species